UACAGAGGGUGCAAGCGUUAAUCGGAAUUACUGGGCGUAAAGCGUGCGUAGACGGUUAUGUAAGUCGGGUGUGAAAGCCCCCGGGCUCAACCUGGGAAUGCCAUUCGAGACUGCAUAGCUAGGGGUGCGGAAGAGGGAAGCGGAAUUUCAGGUGUAGCGGUGAAAUGCGUAGAUAUCUGAAGGAAUACCAGUGGCGAAAAGCGGCUUCCUGGUCCAGCACCGACGUUCAGGCACGAAAGCGUGGGGGAGCAAACAGG
rnacentral:rRNA from 1 species